AGAGUUUGAUCCUGGCUCAGAUUGAACGCUGGCGGCAUGCCUUACACAUGCAAGUCGAACGGCAGCACGGGAGCAAUCCUGGUGGCGAGUGGCGAACGGGUGAGUAAUAUAUCGGAACGUGCCCAGUAGUGGGGGAUAGCCCGGCGAAAGCCGGAUUAAUACCGCAUACGGCCUACGGGUGAAAGCGGGGGAUCGCAAGACCUCGCGCUAUUGGAGCGGCCGAUAUCAGAUUAGCUUGUUGGUGGGGUAAAAGCCUACCAAGGCGACGAUCUGUAGCUGGUCUGAGAGGACGACCAGCCACACUGGGACUGAGACACGGCCCAGACUCCUACGGGAGGCAGCAGUGGGGAAUUUUGGACAAUGGGCGCAAGCCUGAUCCAGCCAUGCCGCGUGCGGGAAGAAGGCCUUCGGGUUGUAAACCGCUUUUGUCAGGGAAGAAACGGUCUGAACUAAUACUUUGGACUAAUGACGGUACCUGAAGAAUAAGCACCGGCUAACUACGUGCCAGCAGCCGCGGUAAUAC
rnacentral:rRNA from 1 species